UGGGGAAUAUUGGGCAAUGGGCGCAAGCCUGACCCAGCAACGCCGCGUGAAGGAAGAAGGCUUUCGGGUUGUAAACUUCUUUUCUCAGGGACGAAGCAAGUGACGGUACCUGAGGAAUAAGCCACGGCUAACUACGUGCCAGCAGCCGCGGUAAUACGUAGGUGGCAAGCGUUAUCCGGAUUUACUGGGUGUAAAGGGCGUGUAGGCGGGAAAGCAAGUCAGAUGUGAAAACCAUGGGCUCAACCUGUGGCCUGCAUUUGAAACUGUUUUUCUUGAGUACUGGAGAGGCAGACGGAAUUCCUA
rnacentral:rRNA from 1 species